GUUAAAAUAAUUUAAUUGAAAAUAUUGGUUUUGUAAACCAAAUAUGGUCAUCCUUUUAACA
rnacentral:tRNA from 1 species